CAUCGAUUCUUUGCUCGAGCCAACGCAGAAAAAAUACCACACGACAUAUGACGUCUACUCCUGCUCGCAAGGCGGAUCCGGCUCUUCGGUGCCGUCAUGGUCGCCACCGCCUCCUCCGUCUGCUUGCCGUUGUCACCGCAGCCUGCCCGGCUGUGGUUCUCGGCGUUCGCAAGCUGGCUACGGCGCCCGGCCGUGGGGGCUAGGGUCGCGUGAGGUCGCGGCACCGGCCACAGGCUCGGCACAUUGCGUGCGGUGCGGGGGCGCACGAGGGUGGGAAUGGAUGGCAGCUAGGGCUCCAGCCAGUGGCGGUGUGACCAGCUACGGGCUCCCUGUCCGCCUAUGCCCUAGUUUCCUACUCCGGCCAUCUUCCCCGUCAAGCCCUAACUAAAGUGAUGCCCUUGAACGCGAUUCCAGCGUGGCGACCCGUGACCCCUUCGGACCUCCGAGCGGCGGUGCUCUCAGCCAACUGCAACCACCGCACCCCCAACAUUAGGUAUUCUUGCAAAUUUCUCCCUCGGCGGCUCUCGCAAUCUGGCCUCCCGUCCGGGCUUAGGAGGAGCACGAUGCCCUACGCUCAGCAGGUCCACCAUUCAGGCCAUGACGCCAUCCUUUUGCCUGCAUCAUCCUUCAGCGGUUCAGCUUCUCCCCCGUACUUGGUUGGUGGUGUGGUGGUGCUCUCUAGGUGCUUGUUGAAUUGCCUGUGACUAAAAAAGGUGUCCAGAUUGGUUGUGUCCAGAUUACAGUCAUUCAAAGGCAAAUUGAGUUCUCAUAUUGUAGCCUACCCUGUACGGCGAUGUAGCCUACGGGAUGUGUUGAUAUGUUCAGGCUUCAGAGUUACCGGUAGAACUACCCCUAAAUUUGUCUUCUUAUGCAGGUCUAAACUAAGAUUGAAAUCAGAAUAUUAGCAUUAUCUAGAUGUUUGAAAUGCUUUAUACAAUAUUUUCCUAUUGAUAUAUUUGUCUACAGAUAUAAAGUAACAUAUUCGUGUGGCUUAUAGAAUCUUCCACGGAGAGCAGUUUGCAUAGCCAAUUUCUAGAUAUAAGGUAACAUGUUCAUGUGGCUUAUAGAACAGUGUUAUGUCUUUUCUUUCCACAGGAGAGUAGUAAAUAUUGGCUUUUGUUAAGAUCUAUAAUGGUCAAUUACAUUGGCUUUUGUAUGGAUUUAAAAUAUGCAAUCAAGUUUGGCUGGAUUCGGCUAUUUUUAUGCCAAUCAUUUUUAUUCUGAGCUUCUGUAGUGCUGCUUGAUUUUAGUUGGGCAUUGACUAUUUGAGAAAGGGCAUAAACCAAGUGCUACUGAUUUGUUGUUUUGGUAAAUGCAGAGUCGAAUUUUGGCAGGGCAUGCGGCAGCACCUCAAACAACAACGUCGCCGGCGGGGAGGAGGCGCUGCUGCUCCCCAUGAGGCGAUGUUGGCAUCCUGCAUGACAGGCCUCUGGUUCCGGCUCUAGGAUGCAUGCCCACGUGGGCAGGGCAUCCCAGGUAUUCUUGCGUCCUUGCAAUUUCUAACAGAGAGAAGUGAAGUGAUUGUAGUUUAGCUCUAUGAUGAACAUUGCAAAUUUGCAAUACAUUGGAAGUGCUGCCUGAUUUUACUUGGGUAUUGACUCUCUGCUUAUUUGUUGUUUUGGUAAAUGCAGAUUGAAAUUGAGAGAGAGCAAAAACCAAUUGCUGCUGAUUUGUUGUUUUGGUAAAUGCAGAGUCGAGGGAUUUAGAAAUGGCAAGCUGAUAUGUGAAUCCUUCACUAUUAAAGUAUUGCAUUUAGUUGUGAGAUAUAGAUAGGUGUUUGUUUGUUUGGUUGGUUGGGCGGGCGUUACUAGAUGAUUAGUGUAUGAUGAGGAUUUGUAUUAUCGCAGUCAUAGUUCUCAAGGCGUCGCCUAGGCGACGCCUAGGCGUCCAGGCGCCCCCCCAUCGCCUUGCAGAAUGGGCGCCUAGGCGGGCAAGGCGGGCGCCUAGGCGAGCAAGGCGGGCGCCUAGGCGUCCAGGCGCCCCCCCAUCGCCGUGCCUCGCCUUUACGCCGUAAGAACUAUGAUCGCAGUACCAAGGAAACUAAACAAGUACAUAUAUAUUUAUCGUCUCUGUCCCUGCUCCAAUGAUCUGAAUAAAAUGGCAUUGUCUGAAUUGUUAAAUUUAGGAAAUAACGCCAUUUAUAUUAAAUUUAGUAAAUUUAUCUUUAUUGCCUUGCUCAAUUCAUAUGAAAUUUGGCUUCUUCAGUCACCAUUGAAUUUAUUGACUUGAAAACAUCUGAAGGUCCUACAAGUGUGAUAGCUAAAAAAAUAGGUAUAAUGAGUGCCAAUAACUUUCCAGCAGGAAGGUCAAUUAUUCCAGUGUAUUGAUCAGAUGAGGACUGUAUAGCAGCAUGUGGUUAGGCUAUAGUUUUUCACUUUUUCUUAUUACCUAAGCAUUCCGAUUUGUGUUUCUUCUCAGCAUUUCUUCCAACAUUGAUAUUCAGUGGCAACAUCAAAGGAUCACAACAUGAGGUACACUCAAGAGCUUGAGCAUAAGGUGUAUAUAUACUUGGUAAGAUCGUCAUUUAGUGUCAUAUGACUUUGCAGCUUGCUUCAAUACUUCAGUCUCAAUGAAUAAGUAAUUAGUUCUUUUUUCAACUACCUAUUUACUACUGUUCCUAUAAGAGUGUUGUAAAACUUUUGUACUGCCCCAUUUAUGCCAUAGUAUAUUUCUUACUAUUAUUUUUAUUUAGUUAAUUGCACUGCCCUAUUGAAAACUGUUUACUAUGAAAUAGUUAUUUAUCAUCACUUCAUCAGCCAUUGUUAUUCCCUCCUUUGUUAUAGUUACUGAGCCUUAUAUGAGCCUCUGAGAACUCUUAUUGGUGCAUGACCAAACACUCAAUUGUGCCAACGAGAAGCAUUUAUUCAUUUGCAUGUGAAGUGUAUUUAUACUUUACAUAACAAGCUAAUUAACAUGCGAUGGCACAUUGUGCUUUGUGGCUUCUUAGUCUUCUGUAAUCUUACCAUGCUAUUUAAUUGCUUAAUCUUGGAUGAAGGAAGCACAUCUAUACUUGAGUAGAUUGAAGAGUGGUUAUGUUUUUGAAACAAAUAUGUUGUGCUAACUUGGAAGCUGCAACCAUUAUGGCCUGUCCGCAAACUCUUAAAAUAGACAUGCUUUAUUUUGCUUCUGUACUCUAACCUGGUUUGCACUUGCAGAUUCUCUUCUCAGACAUCAAUGCUUACGAGGUAAACUGAUUGAUUUCUUCUUAUCUAAAAUUUUGGCCUUGUCUUGAGCCCUACAUUUUUGGAGUCAACUUAUAUGACUUACCUCAUUGUGUUGUAGUGGGCCUUGGUACCGCGGGACUCAGAUCUGUUAGCUGUACUUGAAUGAAUUUUACAAUAAAAAUUAUAGACUCCAACUGCAUGGACUUAUCUUGCCUCUACUUUGUUGUAAGCCAUUUGAAUGUCCGUGAAUACAGCUUCUAGAUGAGUGUUAGUUCUUUUUUUGUUCUAUAUGAGUUCACUACAGAUGUUAUGCUUGGUGGAAAAUGAUCGUUGGAGAGCCUUGUCAUGCAUGAUGCUUGACCUACAGUAUGUUUUUUGGGGCUGCUUUCCUCGUCUACUGGGUUUCAGGCAUGCCAUUGUGCUCCAGGUCGCAAAGCUGGGAUCGUCUGUUCAGGAUUUAGGUCUCAUUUAUGUGAAGCUCAAGAAUUAGCUGUGCAACCAUAGCCUGGCAGUAUGUAUUGAGCAGGGGAGAUUGCAGCGGCAACGAGGAAUGUCUAGAAGGCAGCAGUGGGAGCCGUUAACAAGGAAGGAUAGAGUCGCAGGGAAGUUUGGGUUUGCGAAGUGUUUAUUGCUCAAGAUCAAAUCUCCAGAGCCCGCAUCAAUAGCUCAGUAUUCACAAACUUGCAAAGUACCUAUUCAGUACAUACAAACAUGAGUUUGUCUACAUAUUUUUGUCAUGCUUGUUGUUGUAGUUUUUUUAGGCCUUGUUUAGUUCUCAAAAUAUUUUGCAAAAUUUUUCA